UGGGGAAUAUUGCACAAUGGGCGCAAGCCUGAUGCAGCCAUGCCGCGUGUGUGAAGAAGGCCUUCGGGUUGUAAAGCACUUUCAGCGGGGAGGAAGGCGAUAAGGUUAAUAACCUUGUCGAUUGACGUUACCCGCAGAAGAAGCACCGGCUAACUCCGUGCCAGCAGCCGCGGUAAUACGGAGGGUGCAAGCGUUAAUCGGAAUUACUGGGCGUAAAGCGCACGCAGGCGGUCUGUCAAGUCGGAUGUGAAAUCCCCGGGCUCAACCUGGGAACUGCCUUCGAAACUGGCAGGCUAGAGUCUUGUAGAGGGGGGUAGAAUUCCAGGUGUAGCGGUGAAAUGCGUAGAGAUCUGGAGGAAUACCGGUAGCGAAGGCGGCCCCCUGGACAAAGACUGACGCUCAGGUGCGAAAGCGUGGGGAGCAAACAGG
rnacentral:rRNA from 1 species